rnacentral:rRNA from 1 species
AGCGAACGCUGGCGGCAGGCUUAACACAUGCAAGUCGAACGGGCAUCUUCGGAUGUCAGUGGCAGACGGGUGAGUAACACGUGGGAACGUACCCUUCGGUUCGGAAUAACUCAGGGAAACUUGAGCUAAUACCGGAUACGCCCUUUUGGGGAAAGGUUUACUGCCGAAGGAUCGGCCCGCGUCUGAUUGGCUUGUUGGUGGGGUAACGGCCUACCAAGGCGACGAUCAGUAGCUGGUCUGAGAGGAUGCACAGCAACACUGGGACUGAGACACGGCCCAGACUGCUACGGGAGGCAGCAGUGGGGAAUAUUGGACAAUGGGCGCAAGGCUGAUCCAGCCAUGCCGCGUGAGUGAUGAAGGCCUUAGGGUUGUAAAGCUCUUUUGUCCGGGACGAUAAUGACGGUACCGGAAGAAUAAGCCCCGGCUAACUUCGUG